UACGGAGGGAGCUAGCGUUGUUCGGAAUUACUGGGCGUAAAGCGCACGUAGGCGGCUUUGUAAGUUAGUGGUGAAAGCCUGGAGCUCAACUCCAGAAUUGCAUUUAAGACUGCAUCGCUUGAAUGCAGGAGAGGUGAGCGGAAUUCUGGGUGUAGAGGUGAAAUUCGUAGAUAUUAGGAAGAACACCAGUGGCGAAGGCGGGUCACUGGACUGGUAUUGACGCUGAGGUGCGAAAGCGUGGGGAGCAAACAGG
rnacentral:rRNA from 1 species